UAUUUAGGUCCUGUAUUUCACGUAAUGUACGAGUGGAAUGUUAUAUAUUUUAACGGUUUCUUCGUUAAACUAUGUAAAGACAGCGCGAAGGAGAUUCGGCAAGCGACCGGGGCAAUCAAGCGAAACAAGGUAAGAAAAGCUGAUAAAUCAUUGGCCUUGAGGCAGCCUCGCGAGUCUGGCUUGCACUGUCUGUAUCUACGUAGUUUUACAUAAACUAAAUGCUGUGCAACGUGUACCGUGUUGCAAUACCAGAACAUUCAAGUGAUAAACCCAUCGGAUAGCGAAGUAUUCGGAUAAUAGGAGUUCGUCGAUGAGAGGUCUCUCUUACUGGUUAGAACAUUCGAUGGGUGAAACGAAUCACUGCUUUUCCUCUCUCUACGAUUUCUUUUACCGUGUUCGUAAAAAUACGAAUUUGCAUAAACGCCCGUGGUGUAAUCAGUAGGCAUCCGCUAUAAAAUACAGGAAACGUUACGUCCUUGCUCAUAAUUAUCUUAACGAAACGAAGAAAAGGCUGGAUGAGGAAAGUAGAUAAAAUACUGGAACAGGGGGGCCAAUGGGAAAUCACGUGGCAAGUGGCAGCUGUGCAGGUUUAAAGAGCAAAUUAGUUAUUCAUUGGCCGCGGCAAAUACCCGGAAAUGAAAUUAUCUCGCUCCAAUUGGCAAUCGACGUUAGCAGACAAGAAUAUUGUACGUGGAUGUGUAUCUGAAAUUUUCCUGAUAUUAAUUUAUCGUCACGGAAGUGACGGAAGGUGUUCGAGAACCGUGGGGGAUCGAUAACCGUUAUCCGCGGUUGUUACCAUGGAUACAUCAAAGCUCAUUCGUUAACGCUUGAAAAUGAUUAAGACGAGGCCAUUGCUUAUUAUGGCCGCUUAAUAAAAUUCGCCGACCAACGGAGAAGUUUUUGAUCCACGCACUCAUGUACAUGAUCUUCUCCUCAAAGAUCGCAUUAUUACUUUGUUGUAAGUUCGUAUUGUAUAUCGUGGCUCAGAAUAGUAUUAUGAACGAUUAUUAUAGAGAAUUUUUACGUGUGCUAUAUUGUGUUAUAUCAUAUAGAAGAUGUUGAAAUUUUGCUAGCAUUACAACGAGACAAGACUAUCACGAUUACAUUGGUAAAAUAUAAAUUACAUAAAAUAGUUAUAUGAAACGUUUGAAAAUUUUACUAACAUUGUAACGAGACAGAACUGUCAUGAUUAUACUGGUAAAGUUUGAAACCAAUCGAGAGAUGUAUGUAGAAAUGACUUUAACAAAUUUAAUUGUCAUUAUCUUUCUUAUUAUGGUAUCUUACUUCUAGCAAUAUACUUCUAGAGACAUACGACUUAUAUGAUUAAUGAUCGAAAGGUAACAAUUUAAUUGAUUAUAAUUACACGUUGCGGAUCGAUCAAGCCAUUCUAUUACACUCAGUAGGAAGAAAUUUCUUCGUCGUUAAUCAUGGUUAAGCUUUGCCGUUCAUCGUAGAUCAAAUUCUUUUGCCAAACAAUCUCGUUUCAUUAUAACAUCAUAAUAGCGAUAUUAUAACGUCAAAGAAUUACUAAUUAAAUCGAUGAAAUUAUCAUUAGAAUUAUUGCCUGUAUGACUGCAAAAUUCUACUUAAUCAAUGUUUGCCAGCUUGUUAUACAAACAUUAAAUACAAAUGAAUAUUCAAGAAGAUAUAUUAUACAAGUCAUUGUAACUUAUUAAAGCGCCUAUGUUCAUUAUGGUUUUAGACAAAGGAGAAGGUUUUCCUUGUUCAGGGAAACUUUCUCUAUUUAACGAUGCUUAGCCCUUACAUUUUCCUAUGAAUAGCAACGAGGAAACCGUAUAUGAGCGUAGAGAAAAUAACGAUUUAGAUUUCUUGCAAUGGAAACGUAAAAGGUAUCCUAUGAUUAUAAAAUUUCAUUGUCAAUUUAACAUUAAGCUUCAGGGGAUUUAGCGUCGUUUUAAUUCUGUAAAAACGCUAUCGUCUUGAAAUCACCGCUGUUUUACACGAGCCUAAAAUACAAAGAACUCGCGUUAACAGAACUUUUCCUCAAAUACUAUUGUUUUCUUCUUCUGAAGUGAAAGAGAAAGGUUCGUUUAAUCGCGAUUAAACGUGGGUGAAGUCGACGUUUCAUCAGCGUUCAAUUCAAGUCGGUUCUUGAAGUUGGAUGCGAUUCUAAUUUGCCUCGUUUUCCAAGCUGGCCCCCAGCUUUAUUCCAGCAUAAUUUUCUUUCGCUACCAUUUCCUUCGUAUCGUGGAAAACGCCUUCAAAUUUUUUCUGUACCGACCACCUGCGUCAUCGAGAGACAGAAAUAAAGUCGCCCCCCCAGGUGGGUGAAUUUCAAUGUACAAACGGCGGUGAUUCGUAAAACACGAAUAUUUGUUGGAGUUUGUAGUCGUUGAAACGUUUUUUAAUAAUUGCAGCGUGAAACGACAA